UGGCUGAGAAACUUUCGAAAUUUUGAAGACAAGUCAAGCGCCAUUAAUCAAAACACCGGUGUUAAUGAAAGUCUUACUGAGAUGAUCAUGAAGUGCCACUUCCCCGGGCAGAGAAUUGCUGUUGGAAAGCCGGAAUAUAAAAAAAUCAUUGAAGAAAGUCUGGUUAGUAUAAGCUCCUGGUUUCCCCAUAAUUUUUAACAAAUUUGAUCACCGCUUUUGCUGUCUUUUUUCAGAAAAUAACCUGCGUAUAUAGUCCAACUGUGAUGGAGUUAAUGUGGGGCAUACAGAUUUGGAUGCCAAGUUUGGUGCCUAGAGAAAAAUCUGGUCUGACUGAAGAUGAACGCCUCCCGAUGAGUCAUGGACUGAAACAAGUGUUGAGUCGUUAUGAUUGUGAUUAUGUAAACCCUGAGAUGCUCGAUCAGCCAAUUAUUAUAAUGUCUUACGCCUUGUUUGAGUGUGAUUCUCUUGAGGAAGAGAAGUCUGAAGAAUUGGACUUUUUAGCUGGUGUAAUUAAGGUGGUGUCUGGCAUCGACAGAGGGUUGGGGCUCACUGAAAAUUGCAACAGCUCUGAAGAAGAUAUGGUGCCCUGAAGAAGCUGACAAUUCUUGCGAGAUCAUUUCAGAAGGCGAGGUAUUAAGGUUGGUGAAUGAUGCAGAUAAAUAUAAAGUGAAGCUGGUUAAGGAUGCUUGCUUGCAACUUUCUAGACGAAUUGUGAAAGCUCAUGGUGUUCGCACUUCAAAAAGAAAGCAAUUGAAAAAAUAUGCUGAGCAGGCCAAGAAAGCAUAUGAAGCACGGAAGAUUAUGAACCAUGAGCUCACAGCUGCUGAAAGUGUUUCAGCUAACUAAUGUGUUCUAAUUCUGAAAUGCAUGCUGAUAUUAGUUGACUUUAUUCUGUAUCUUUAAGCUACUCUCAGUCUGAACAUGGUCAGUAGUUCUCUGCCCAAUCUGGAAGUGCUAAUUAAAUUUAAGCAAUCCCGUUUGAUGCCACUA